rnacentral:lncRNA from 1 species
UGCCUUCGAUGAAGCUCUCGAUAGCACCGACCGGUCUACCAGACGCUCUGGCGUCGUUUCUAUUGAUCGCGUUCCUGGAUACAGGUACCUGGGCCUCGGGCCUGGAACCCGAGACCCUGGUCGCACUCGUCGCCCCACCGGUGUCAGCGGAAUCAUCCUCGAGAUGCAGACUCAAGAUACCGUCGAGUUUGACUCGGAGCGACCUGACAUCGUAUACGUCAAACUGGUGUCCUCGAACUCGCUCCUUCUUCCUCCUUGUCUUCCUUCUCCGUUCCUCCCUUUAAACGUGCGCGUCUCGUAAUCUUCUCACGGGAUAGCACUGACUCAACGCGAGAUACGUAUCGCGGUAUACCCUUUUUUCCUCCUGCGAUUUCGGGGACUACGCCCCUCGACCAAGGCGCCUCGGACUCUACUUCUCGGGUGCCGACCGGCGCAGACCUCGGGGUUCGAAGCUCCUCUCGUUGCAGCACCGAAAAAUCACCACCUGCGAAAAUUUAUGCGACGACGCACACGCACGCAGCACGCACGAACGGGUCAGCGAACGGUGCAUCGUCUUCUGUCAAAAUAGGGAUCUACAGUAUUAUUAUUCUGGCGGUAAGUCUGUCUUCGCGGCGCUAGAAGCGAGUUCAUUCAGCAAAACGUCACUAUCUGUCAAUGGCAGAUGUCUGUAGUAAUCAAUGGAGACUACCCAUAUGAUAAUCAGUGAAUGGAGUAGUACGUAACAUGUGACAGUUGCCAGUGACUAGUGGUGUCAUCAGUGGACGAAAGCUACAGUAGCUUGGUCCGUUGUCGCUUGGUCGAUUGUACAGAAUAUCGCGGAUACCGACUAGACAUUUUGCGUCCGGAUUCGGCGAAGAAAGAAUCUGUCCUCGGAUAUUUUUAAAUUAAUCGAGACUGUCAUCCAAUCGUGCCAAACUAGCGGCGAGAAUUAACAAUCGCAGUGGUGAUUAAAAAAUCUCGUCUACAUCUGACCCGAUCCGACGACGUCGCCGGUGUUACUUGUAAUCGCGUCUCACUGUCGUCCUACGCAGAAAAGGAAUCAACUUUUCAUCCAUCGCAGAUCGCAGCUGUUCGCCGUGCGGCGCGAUAAGCGUGGGUGUCGUGACCUCGCUCAACGAAAACCUUAUAUUUCCGAAAGAUAUCCUAAUUUUUGGAGACGGAGACACAUAUUGCGUGUAUGCAAAUGCACUGCAAGACGUAUUGCGUCUCGAACGGAAGUUCAGUGACCAACACGCACAUCACGGCAGCGCAUUCUUGUCGCGCGAAGCCUUGUAUGUAUGACACAAGAUCUGAUAUACGUGUCACGUCGAUGUGACAAUAAAUGAGACGGACACGCGUUGUAUCGCGCGCAGAUAUAAUGAUUUAGGGAGGAAAUACAUCUUCAUUCAUACUCCGAACGUAUAUGGGAUCGUCAUUGUAGACACACAAGUGAAACAAAUCGUAUAUUUCCAAUUGCAAACACAUACACGUAUAUGUAAUAUAUCAUAUAUAGAAAUAUUUGCUUUUAUGUAUGACAUUUAUCUCUGAAUAUAUGUAGAUAUUUUUUAUGUACAUACAUAUAUAAUGUAUGUCGUAUGCACGUGCAUAUAUUUGUUGAAUUCCAUUUGUGCGUUUACGCGUCAGACAAGUCACGGUGUCUAUACAACGUUACUACUUGUUUUUUUUGAUGCUGACUAAGCAAGAAGAUCUCUAUCAUAGAAGGAUAUAAAGUUGGUAUCAUGAUGCAAGGAUUACUUAAUUUGCAUAAUUAUGUGAAAGAUCAAUGUUACUUGAAAUUGAACUGAUUAGUGUCAUUUCUCGAUAUCUUGCAAUUACGAAAGAUAAAAGUAUACAUACAUAAAUA